UAAGUAGAGGACCAUGAGAGAAAGGAUGCAAGCAGGCUGGAGGGAGAAGCCCCAACUGAUGGUCAUGAGAAAUGGACACCUAUAGACUUACAGUUACAAGGAACUGGAUUCUGCCACCAACCUAACUGACCUUGGAAAGAGAUUCAUCUCCAGAGCCACCGGUAAGAGCCCCACUGACACCAUGGUAAGACACUGAGGAGAGAACCCUGGCAGAACCCACCCAGAAUUCUGACUGUACAGAUUUGUGAGACAAUGAACAGCCACUGUGAGACAAUGGUUUUGAAGCUACCCAGUUUGUGGUAACAUGGUAACCUGUUAGGCAGCAAUGGAAAACUAAUACAGGCAUUUAAACAGAUGAAUGAUAAAAGCAAAGCCCUUUUAUCAUAAUCUUUCUAACCAUACCUUUAACAUUAGAAAAAGCAUAUUUGGGAAUAGUCCAAUGAGUUUAACUUCCCUUUCUUUACUAAUUAUUUGCAGAGGCCUCUUUGCUCCAUGGAAAGCCUGGGCCCUCAGCCAACAGGGGGUCCCUGGGCCUAGAAGUCAGAGCAAGAUGCAGUGAUGACCUAUACUUAAUGUCCAGAAAAGGGCAUUACUCCAGGAAUCAGAGUGAUACCCCCUCAUACCAGCAACCAAAGACUUGCCAACACCAGGUAGCCCAGAAAUUCUGUGCCUCUCUGAGCUGGAGCUCCCAGGCCCUGAAGACAGGAAUGCUCAUUUACAGAUGAAUGUGGAAGGAGCAAGAAGGAAAAAGAAAGGCUUUGGGCACCUUCUGUUUUCAAGGAGCACAGGCCCUGCCUGGAGGGCUCCCCACCUCCAAGCUCUUGGCUAGGAGGUCACACAAGGCUCACAUUUAAAGCCUAGCUUCAUGCCACAGAAGUUCUGCUAUGGAAGUUCUUUAAAAUCCAAACACCAACAAGAGGGACCAAACAUGCAACAGGGGACAGCGCACUCAGAGGUCCCCUGAUAGCUGAGGGAUGACCUAUUCACACAAAAGCAGUUCUGAGGUCGUGACACAGUUCCAGGUCUGUAAGAAGGGAGCACUAGGAGCCACACAUCAACAGCCCCAGAAGGCAGCCAGUGAGAGCUGCGCUGGGCAUAGGAGUUUGCUGUCUCCACUUCAUCUCCUGCCAGAUACAUGCAUUUUUCAUUAUCAGCGG
ensembl:lncRNA